GCUUCGUCAACGCAGCGGCUAAAGGGGACGGACUUAAGAUCCGUUGACGAAGGUCUUCGUGGGUUCAAAUCCCACCCCCUGCA
rnacentral:tRNA from 1 species